GUGCCAACGGAAUCGACCCUGAAUGUACCCAAUUUCAUCUGAUAUUGGAAGCUAAUCAGGGUUGGGCCUAGCUUGUACUUAUACAGUAGCCAGGUGUGGGGGACCUGUGGCCUUCUAGGUCCUUGGGUGCG
rnacentral:rRNA from 1 species